GGAUUGUUCCUUGCCCUUUCAGAUUUUUUUGCUGCUGCUCUUGGUUCAUAUUGUUAAUUCUUGGGGAGGCUCUGAAACCGGGGUGAGCAGCUAUUAGUGAAUAAACAUAUUUUAGAACCUUUGACCAGUUGUUCCAGGACUACAACUCCCAUCAUCCCUGGCUGUUACCUAUGCUGGCUGGGGCUGAUGGGAACUGCGGUACAACAACAUCUGCAGGGCUGCUAAAAUAAGGUUACCAAAAAAAUUUCAAUUAAUCCAGCGACACUUUUCAACUUCAAUGGAUUCUGUAUGGGGUCUGAUUUGUAAAUCCGGGGACUGUCCCCGGGAAACGGGGAUGCCAAGUAACCUUAUGCUAAAAAUGUCUCUUGACUAAUAGUGGGGUUGUUCAGUAACACUCAGUUUGAGAAUAUUUAGGCUAAACUAGUCUUUCUUUCCAAGAACAGCCGUCAUAUAGGGGAGUCUUAAGUAACCACAGCAUGCCUCUAUACAUGGAAUUAAACUCUGGUGAGCAAUCUGUACCUUUUACUGAAACAAUAGCUGCAGUUAGUACACAAAAAAAUUAAUCAUUAAGGCUGAUGGGUGUUAUAUGAGUGUGUAGGGAGACUGUAGCAGGUGUGCACCUCAAUAAAUUUCAAUUGACUGUAAAUGUCUGUAGCCAAACAGCUUCAUCAUCUGGUUUUUCAAAGCUUGUAGACAGGCAAUUUUUCAUGAUUUUACCAUUUCAGCCAAAUGAACCCUUUAAAAUUAAAUAUACCCCAUGAUUCCAGAUGUUUGUGUAUUUGUUCCAAUGAUGCUAUAAAAUAACUGCAUGAUCAGAUUGGUGGUUUUUGAAAAAGAAAAAAGAGGAGGAAAAGUUGGGACUGAAAUAUUUUUAAAAGCAUGGACAUUCCCAGGAGUCUGUCUCUGGAUUUUUGUUCUAAAGUUGACUCUCUCAGUGGACAGUGGUUCUAUACUUAGGUGAAGGAGCAUGGAUGCACAUUAAUUUAAUCUUUAAUGGAAGAUUGGGAUUAUUAACCCACAGGACCAGUUUACUAGCCCUUUUAUUUUUUAUUUCUGAUUGUCAUUUGUGAGCAACUUUUAUUCCUAGAAUCCAGCUAACAUCAAAAGCUGGUUUCCACCUAGAUUCAGGUUCCAUUUCCACACCCACCCAAUGGCUCUGUGUGCGCGUGUACAUGUGUGUGAAUUAAAUAACAAGAUAGUAUAGCCAAUCACACAAAAAAUUCACAGCUGACUGGUAUAAUUCCUAGAAUCUGAAUAUCCAUCCUCAAAGUUCAAAAACAGCUGUUACAAUUAAUAUUGCUUGUGAUUUCUUGACAGCAACUUCUAAUGAUGUGGUUGUUUUGUUUUUUGUUUGUGUGUGUGCUUGCUUGCAUGCAUGCGUGUGUGCACACAGGAAUUACAUUUGUACCCAGGAAUGAAGGGGGAUAGUUCAUUUUUAGAACAUAAAGCUUCUACUGCAGAAAACUCUAACUUAGGUCAAGUUCAAUACCAAUCUUCUCCCAGUGGGGUCUACACAACUGAUUAAGGAUUGUUUGGUGUGAUUUUUAAAUUGACAAACAGCUGGAAAUUAUGGUUUUAAGUAAAACUAUUGUUUUAUGUGGUUUUGCAAAUCAUGAUUUGCACUAACUAUGCUUUGCUGUCCCGUGUGUAUGGUCAAGCCAUGAUUACAGCUAAGAUUCUGCCUCAAGAGAUUCUGUAAGAUUCUGUACCAUAAAGAUAGGAAUGAAUGUAUCAAAUGGUGUAUUGAGAUAAAAUGAAUAGAUACUAUUGUAUGCUUGGAAGCGUCAAUCAUCUUUGCAUUAUAAAUUGUGGUUAGCACAAACCAUGGUUGGGUGUGAUGUCUGAAUUGAGCACAAUGAACUUGGCAGAGAUACAGGUGUGACGUUAACAUAUGAGAGUGCUGGAAGUGAAAUAGUUAAACUGGUUACCCAAUCAGAACCCAGGGGGUGGAGUCAGAGGGACUAUAAAACCAGCUCUGGGAAGCGCGAAGGGAGAGUUCGUUGGUUGGUUGGAGUGGGAGUGAAUUGGGAAAGAGUCUGUGGGUAGUUGAGUUAGUGUAGUGAAAUAAGCUGAGUCAGAAACAGUUAGGAGCUAGGAAGACAAGUAAAUAUCUGAGAGGUGGUUUAUUGAGUGAGAGCAGGUAGCGGAAGGUAUACGUCUGGAUAGGCACCCCAUGAUUGUAAUUGAUUGAUACUGUUUAUGAAACCACACGCUUGUUAAACUGCAAUAAAUAAACAGAAGAUUAUGUUCUAAUUUAACCCUGGCUGGACUCAGUAUUUUACCAGGUAGGGCCUGGGAGGUGGUAGCGAGAAAUAAAGUGGUGGCACAGGGAUCAAUAGACGGUGAAACGUCCGGGGACCCUGUGUGAUCGCCACAACAGGUGUCACUAAAGAAUAAUGUCCUGUGUUCUGAAACCCAUGGAGUGACUACCCUACCAGCCCUCCCUAAAUGGUCCCCUGUGUAUGGUUGCCAACAAUUGAUGACAAACUACUAGCCUCUUGGGCAAGGCCAGGUGGCAGAGACAGGAACUUGGUAGGUCAGGGAUAAAGUCUGCAUACAUACCAACAUUUCACAAAUGAAAAUAUAGGCACUAUGCUUAGUUGUGAACUGCCCUGAGAUCUGUGGGUAUAGGGCGGUAUACAAAUUUAAUAAAUAAUAAUAAUAAAUAGCAAGUGCCACCUUGAUUCUCACAAGGAUCACUUCCUGAUCUGAGCCUUCUCCCUCCCCACAACCAUUACUGAUUGACAAAUACUCUUUUCUGCCUUCUGAAUCCUAUAUCUGUUUACUCUGCAAUCUUCUCUCCUUCACUGUCUUCCAAAGUGUUUGGAAGACAUUUAUUACAUAGCACAUUCUUAGGCUGGAUCUAGACACAUCAAAGAAGUGUUUCAGUUAAAUGCGUUGUAAAUUUAAACAGGGAAAUCCAGUAGGCAAAAACAGGACUCUACAGUGUCAUCUGGUGGCACAAUGUUAUAUCGCAUCUACAACACAUAUAAAUCACUUUUUCUUUACCAAUCUACCUGAGUCUUUAGAAUGCCUAUCCUUAUGUAGUCAAGAUGGCACCAUCCACUAACAAGAGAUACAGGCAACCCGCCCAUUUAGGUGGGUUCAAUAUGUACAUGACCGGAUAUACACAUCAUGCUGAACCAGGAAGUGACCCAAAAACAUCACAAAAAGGGGCAGGGUGGCAUGUAAUGGCGAAGCCCUAGGGCCUGAGCAUGCUCAGUGGGCAUGGAAUGGCGACAGGCUGUUUGGGAGUGGACUGGAAUGGAGUGACUGGAGAUCUGAAUAGGGGUAUUCCACACUGCACAUUUUGUUACAGGUAGAGGUAGAGGAAAUUUUUAUUUAGCCUACGUUUUAAAACAAACCUACCUAAUUGGUUGGUCCUAGACUUGUAUAUGCAGCAGACAUGCAGCAGAAGUGCAGACUACGCACUUCUCCAAAUUUUACGGUGCAGUUUCGGUAAAAAAAAGAAAAUGGCACCAAAUGUGUACAUUGUAGAAAAAAAUGCACAUUUUAUAGGGGAUAGCAUUUUUAAAAUGAGUAUUUUGAAUGAGGAAUGUGUGUGAAAUGUGUACAAAUUAAAUACAUUUUCUGUGCAUUUUUUUAAUCCACAAAAAAUGGGUUAGAAUGAAUAUAUGACUGAGCGCAUGUAAAACUGAUGUGGACUAGAGAAAGACUAAUCCAUUCACCUCUAGUUGCAGGUCCCACUUUAAAUGUAGAUUAAAUACACUACAUUACAAUACUAGUCUGGGCAGCUUGGCAACCCUAUUCCUGAGUCUGUGGCCAUUUCUUCCGAAAAGGCAAAAGAGGUUAUUCAUUUCAUGGUGUGUGUGUGUGUGUGUGUGUGUGUGUGUGUGUGUGUUUCUGUCUUUGGAGAGGGAGAGGUAUCUCUGAUUCUCCUCUAAUACUAGAAAGUGAGUGGUUGUGGAGUCUUGCUUACAUGUUAUGCGAUAUAAAUGGUUGUAUUCAUGAUCUAAUGAUAUGUUUGCUUAUCAAAGUUUCCUCCAAAGCAUCUUUCAUCUUUUUCUUUUCCCCCAUCCUGUGCAUUUUGCUGUGUUAGACAGCAGGAUUGAUUGUGGCCAGUGGCCCUGACAAUUCUCCCUUGGUUUCAUGCUUCCUGUGGUAGGUAGGAGUGCUCAAAUUGUCUGUUCUGAAAGAAACACACACACACAAAAAGCCAAGAAAGAGACCCUUAUUUUCUGCUGGAGAAUGAUAGUUUACUUCCACAAACUGCAGAAGUAGCGGGUGGGUGGGGUGGGGGGACUUGAUCCCUUCUUGUUACUCUCAAGAAAUGUCAUCUUAUGAACUUUGAGAGCUGCAGAUAGUAUUGAUUUUGUGUGAAAAUAAGCCUCUAUUGACGUUGUAAUGAAGCACACUUUUCUUGCACAACUGGUGAUAUUGGUAUCUUUUAGAGUGUUUUUAAACUCAGGGGUGGUUCUUAAGUAUCUGCCAGGUUUGAGGAAUCGCUUGAGACCCUCAUUCUCUGCACCCCCACCCCCACCCCCAGCCCAUGGCAGGAGAAACCUGAAAGAAAGGAUGGAAAAUAACUCAUUGACUCUGCACUUUGCUGCCUGCUGAGAGCAAAAUGCAAUGCAGUGCAAUUUUAGUACUUACGUGCCACUAGGGAAAACAGACACUUUCCGUCACAUUAGUGAGCACUAGGGGGAAGAAUCCGUAUAUUAGUUGUUUAAGCUCUCUGUUUUGAAACUCAAGAAUGCUAGAGUUACUUCUCGAGUUAAAGAGAUUUUGUAGUUUUUAUCCACCUUGUAUAAUUAGCAGGAUAAACCAAGAAAACUGAACAAGAUCCAACUACUAUGAAAACUGUUCCCUUCUGAGGUUCAUGCAAUGGUGGGGAUAAAUAAGAAGAGAUUUAUUUCAUUGCUCUGUACUUGAUGCAGAAGCAGGGCACUUUGAGGUGGAAGUGAAGCUGAGACAGAAGUAUGCAUACAUUUUGCACUCUCUCAAGAAUUUUGACAUUUAAUGCUAUCGAUGUUGAAAGUCCAAAAUCCAAUACGAUUUUUGAGCAGUAAUCUGUGUUUGAUGAAGAGUAAUCCAAAUGUUUUAGUGUUAAGCUUUCGAAUCUUGUACAUAAAGAUUAACUUGAACUUUCAAACAGAAAACUCAAAAAAAUUAAAAUACAUAUCUCAAAUUUCUCAACUUUCAUUUUUUUGCAUGCAGAUUUGGAAGUUAGGAUCUAAAUUAUCUAGCUUUACCUGAAUUAAGGAUGGAACAAGGGUGGCGCUGAGGUUUAAACCACUGUGCCGCUUGGAUCGGAAGGUUCGAGGCCUUGCGACGGGCUGAGCUCCCAUUGUUCGGUUCCAGCUACUGCCAACCUAGCAGUUCGAAAGCAUGCAGUGCAAGUAGAUAAAUAGGUACUGCUCCGACGGGAAGGUAAACAGCAUUUCCGUGUGCUGCUCUGGUUUGCCAGAAGCGGCUUAGUCAUGCUGGCCACAUGACCCGGAAAAACUGUCUGCAGACAAACAUCGGCUCCCUCGGCCAGUAAAGCGAGAUGAGCGCCGCAACCCCAGAGUCGUUCGCGACUGGACUUAACUGUCAGGGGUCCCUUUACCUUUAAAUAGAAAUAUUUAUAAGUACUAGAGGAUUGGAUGGAGCUACAAUAGGAAUUUGCAUUAAAAGUUUU
rnacentral:lncRNA from 1 species